rnacentral:SRP_RNA from 1 species
GCUGGGCGCGUUGGCGCGUGCUUGUAGUCCCAGCUACUCAGGAGGCUGAGGUGGGAGGAUUGCUUGAGCCCAAGAGUUCUGGGCUAUAGUGUGCAAUGCUGAUCAGAUGUCCACACUAAGUUCAGCAUCAAUAUGGUGACCCCUCCCCCAGGAGCGGGGACCACCAGGUUGCCUAAAGAGGUGAACCGGCCCAGGUUGGAAAUGAAGCGCGUCAAAACUCCCAUGCUGAUCAGUAGUGGGAUUGCAUCUAUGAAUAGCCACUGCAUUCCAGCCUGGGCAACAUAGUGAUACCCUGCCUCU